CAGACUGGAAGGAGAGCAUAGACGAUAAGAGAGGAGCUCUGAGAGAGACUGAGAAACUGCGGUGGACUUGCCUAGGUGGCAUCCUCUUGCUAGGGCCAUGACUUUGGGCAAGUUACUUAACUGCUUUCUGCUUCUGAAGCCCCCUCUGAAAAUAGACAACAUCUCUGUAAAUUAGAGAUAUGGAUGGUGCCGCCCACAGGGCUGUCAUGAGGAUUCAAUGAGGGCACCGGAGCCUGGACCUCUGGCUGAAUUAGCUGCCACGUCUUCUGAUCACUGUCUCUCUUGCCACUCCAACAGGGAGUGGAGGCCCCCUCCCUCACCCUCGCCCAACUGCAAGGUCAAGUGGAGGGCGGGCAUCGAUGCUCCACAGGUGUGCUGUGUCUGCCUGACCAACAGCUUCCAGUGCACACACUCAUGUGUGUAAGCCUGUUCCUGCGCCCCUGCCUCUGCUGACUGGACCCCAAGGAAGGCACCUGACCCAAGGGCCAUAGUCAUCUGGCUUAGGGAGAUGGGCUGGACCAAUCAAAUUCCUUUGCUCAGCAAUUCAAACUAAGAAAGAUAGGGACGAUGCAUUUACCUGCUAGUUGCAAGAUCCCCAGCUGAAUGGUCCUGCAGUCGAGUUGGACAUGGGGAGAACUUGCCUGGAUGGAAGGGCCUGCCCAUGGCCCAACAUAAAGAAGCAGAUGAGAGGUGUGUGGCCAUGUCUGACCAAGGUGAAGGGCCAGAAUGAAGGUCCCCAGAUCCAGGGGUGUCCCCGAGGGGCUUGGCCUGAUUAUAGCUCCAUGAAGAUCUCAGGAUGGACUCUGUUUUAAUAGUGUUGGCUGAGUAGGAGCCUCUUUAUUGUGACCAGCUGAACCCAAUCCUGGUAUUUAGUAAUCUUCUACAAGAUGCCGUCUGAUUGCAGAUCUCUGACAUCAGAGCGAAUCAGCCUGGCCGUGGCUCUAGCUUGGAGUGGGGCUGACCGAUGGAACCACGGGGCUGAUUUGUGUGAUUACCAGGCCUGCUUUCUUAGGUGGUGGGGGAGGUAUAUGAUUCUGGGAGGAGCCUCUAAAAGAAACACUUAAGACCUACUCAUAGGUAAGUGACAAAUGCUUCUUAAUUCGGAAAUUUCCUCCUGGGGUCAGCAUAUACAUAACCAUUCAACAGGUAUUCAUUGGAUGGGGUUGACGUUCAACUCAUUGUGCUACGUGCUGAGAGUGAUCCAAAGAUAGAACAUUCAUGAAGCUGUUGUUCUAGACUUAAAAUUUUGAAAAAAAGCAUGCACUGUAGAAAUCAAGAUAAAAAGUGAUCAUUGUCAUCAAGAUGUACCAAUAAAACGUCAUAGGCAUUCAGAGAAGAAACCAACCACUUCCUUCUGGAAGGAUAAUGUGAAAUGUUGAGGCCAAGGUGCUAUUUUGUCUGGCCCUUGCCCCCUUGACCGACAGGUAGCAGUUGGUGUUUAGCUGGAGAGUGAGAAGAAAAGGAAAGAAUCUAAAGUGUAGAUGCAGACUGAGGCCAGAUCUUAGGUGAUGAAAAAUAUCAAAUGUGGAAUCUGAGUUUUAUUCUGAGAGCAAUGUGAUGUUGCUGGAGGGUUUUGAACAGAACAAUGGAGGGCAGAAGUAGCCUUUAGAAAAGCUACCACAGAUUGCAGGAGGGAGGGAAGCCCUAGUGAAGCGUGAGGAACUUUCCACAUCUCACCGCGUUGUGGGGAGGGCGCGCUUCCCACCCCGGGGCACCUUUACUUCUGUUCCCUCCCUGGGGUCUAAAGGAGCUUUCCCCUCACUAACAAAUUCCUUUCCUCCUCCUGACAGACCCCUGCCUCCCUCCACUGCAAAACAUUGCCAAAUGGAUUUAAUUCAAAUUCUAUGUAAUAAAAGCAUAAGGGCAAAAUAAAUGAGAAUGCUUUAAGUAACAUGCUCUGGCAUCUCAUAAAAGCCUCUUAAAUUGAUGACAUAAGAGCACAUGGUGUAGACUCCAGAAAAAGGCGGGUUUUAUGGGAACUCUGGCAGAGCCCCAAAGUGGAGUCGCGCUGCGGUGGCUGCAGUCAUAACUCUUCCUCUUAUCACGUUUUGUGCUUGGGUUGCUGCACCCUGCACAACGAGUUUCCCUUCCCUAACCAGGGCAUAGGUUUAAAAACAAAAACCCGCAGUCAUUAGCAAUUCCAGGCAGCUCUGACCAGGCUCAUUAUACCCGGCAUCUUGGCUGCUAGAAUCCUGAGGUCUGUUUUGCAAUGAUUGUGAAAACCAGGAAUGUGAAUGAGUUAUCCCAAAGUUGAGAAAGAUCUGUUUUUGCACCAGCCUGGCAGCCCUGGGGGGCUGGUUUUGCACAGUGCUUAGCCAAAUCUGGUAUUCAGUACAGAGGAAAAUGAUGGCACUAUUCUUCCCGCUGGAAAACUUCUCCAGAGGUGGAAAAGAUUUCUUUCCAAUCCCACACUGGAGUCUUCUCUUGUCUGUCCAAUCCUCUUCUACAAGAUGCCAUCUGAGGCAGAUCUCUGCACUCCGAGCAAAUCAGCCUGGCCACAGCUCUGGGCUGGGCAGGGCUGACCAAUGGAACCAAGAGGCUGACCCGUGCCACCCGCACCUGAUUGCUGAAAAAUUGGUUUGAGAGUGGGAACACAUGGCUGGGCUGGGAAAUAAUUUGUGACUCACAGAAGUGGAAGAUCUUUUAGGCUGGCUCUCAGACUAUAAGAGAGGUGAU
ensembl:lncRNA